ACUAUCAUUAACUGAAUCCAUAGGUUAAUGAGGCGAACCGGGGGAACUGAAACAUCUAAGUACCCCGAGGAAAAGAAAUCAACCGAGAUUCCCCCAGUAGCGGCGAGCGAACGGGGAGCAGCCCAGAGCCUGAAUCAGUGUGUGUGUUAGUGGAAGCGUCUGGAAAGGCGCGCGAUACAGGGUGACAGCCCCGUACACAAAAAUGCACAUGCUGUGAGCUCGAUGAGUAGGGCGGGACACGUGGUAUCCUGUCUGAAUAUGGGGGGACCAUCCUCCAAGGCUAAAUACUCCUGACUGACCGAUAGUGAACCAGUACCGUGAGGGAAAGGCGAAAAGAACCCCGGCGAGGGGAGUGAAAAAGAACCUGAAACCGUGUACGUACAAGCAGUGGGAGCCUCUUUAUGGGGUGACUGCGUACCUUUUGUAUAAUGGGUCAGCGACUUAUAUUCUGUAGCAAGGUUAACCGAAUAGGGGAGCCGAAGGGAAACCGAGUCUUAACUGGGCGUUAAGUUGCAGGGUAUAGACCCGAAACCCGGUGAUCUAGCCAUGGGCAGGUUGAAGGUUGGGUAACACUAACUGGAGGACCGAACCGACUAAUGUUGAAAAAUUAGCGGAUGACUUGUGGCUGGGGGUGAAAGGCCAAUCAAACCGGGAGAUAGCUGGUUCUCCCCGAAAGCUAUUUAGGUAGCGCCUCGUGAAUUCAUCUCCGGGGGUAGAGCACUGUUUCGGCAAGGGGGUCAUCCCGACUUACCAACCCGAUGCAAACUGCGAAUACCGGAGAAUGUUAUCACGGGAGACACACGGCGGGUGCUAACGUCCGUCGUGAAGAGGGAAACAACCCAGACCGCCAGCUAAGGUCCCAAAGUCAUGGUUAAGUGGGAAACGAUGUGGGAAGGCCCAGACAGCCAGGAUGUUGGCUUAGAAGCAGCCAUCAUUUAAAGAAAGCGUAAUAGCUCACUGGUCGAGUCGGCCUGCGCGGAAGAUGUAACGGGGCUAAACCAUGCACCGAAGCUGCGGCAGCGACGCUUAUGCGUUGUUGGGUAGGGGAGCGUUCUGUAAGCCUGUGAAGGUGUGCUGUGAGGCAUGCUGGAGGUAUCAGAAGUGCGAAUGCUGACAUAAGUAACGAUAAAGCGGGUGAAAAGCCCGCUCGCCGGAAGACCAAGGGUUCCUGUCCAACGUUAAUCGGGGCAGGGUGAGUCGACCCCUAAGGCGAGGCCGAAAGGCGUAGUCGAUGGGAAACAGGUUAAUAUUCCUGUACUUGGUGUUACUGCGAAGGGGGGACGGAGAAGGCUAUGUUGGCCGGGCGACGGUUGUCCCGGUUUAAGCGUGUAGGCUGGUUUUCCAGGCAAAUCCGGAAAAUCAAGGCUGAGGCGUGAUGACGAGGCACUACGGUGCUGAAGCAACAAAUGCCCUGCUUCCAGGAAAAGCCUCUAAGCAUCAGGUAACAUCAAAUCGUACCCCAAACCGACACAGGUGGUCAGGUAGAGAAUACCAAGGCGCUUGAGAGAACUCGGGUGAAGGAACUAGGCAAAAUGGUGCCGUAACUUCGGGAGAAGGCACGCUGAUAUGUAGGUGAAGCGACUUGCUCGUGGAGCUGAAAUCAGUCGAAGAUACCAGCUGGCUGCAACUGUUUAUUAAAAACACAGCACUGUGCAAACACGAAAGUGGACGUAUACGGUGUGACGCCUGCCCGGUGCCGGAAGGUUAAUUGAUGGGGUUAGCGCAAGCGAAGCUCUUGAUCGAAGCCCCGGUAAACGGCGGCCGUAACUAUAACGGUCCUAAGGUAGCGAAAUUCCUUGUCGGGUAAGUUCCGACCUGCACGAAUGGCGUAAUGAUGGCCAGGCUGUCUCCACCCGAGACUCAGUGAAAUUGAACUCGCUGUGAAGAUGCAGUGUACCCGCGGCAAGACGGAAAGACCCCGUGAACCUUUACUAUAGCUUGACACUGAACAUUGAGCCUUGAUGUGUAGGAUAGGUGGGAGGCUUUGAAGUGUGGACGCCAGUCUGCAUGGAGCCGACCUUGAAAUACCACCCUUUAAUGUUUGAUGUUCUAACGUUGACCCGUAAUCCGGGUUGCGGACAGUGUCUGGUGGGUAGUUUGACUGGGGCGGUCUCCUCCUAAAGAGUAACGGAGGAGCACGAAGGUUGGCUAAUCCUGGUCGGACAUCAGGAGGUUAGUGCAAUGGCAUAAGCCAGCUUGACUGCGAGCGUGACGGCGCGAGCAGGUGCGAAAGCAGGUCAUAGUGAUCCGGUGGUUCUGAAUGGAAGGGCCAUCGCUCAACGGAUAAAAGGUACUCCGGGGAUAACAGGCUGAUACCGCCCAAGAGUUCAUAUCGACGGCGGUGUUUGGCACCUCGAUGUCGGCUCAUCACAUCCUGGGGCUGAAGUAGGUCCCAAGGGUAUGGCUGUUCGCCAUUUAAAGUGGUACGCGAGCUGGGUUUAGAACGUCGUGAGACAGUUCGGUCCCUAUCUGCCGUGGGCGCUGGAGAACUGAGGGGGGCUGCUCCUAGUACGAGAGGACCGGAGUGGACGCAUCACUGGUGUUCGGGUUGUCAUGCCAAUGGCACUGCCCGGUAGCUAAAUGCGGAAGAGAUAAGUGCUGAAAGCAUCUAAGCACGAAACUUGCCCCGAGAUGAGUUCUCCCUGACUCCUUGA
rnacentral:rRNA from 1 species